UAGCUUAUGGUUAAAUGCCAUAGAAUCUUAUAGAUUUAGAUAUAUAUCGGUUAUGGAUGAGCUUGCGGGGUAUUAGGUAGUUGGUGUGGUAAUGGCGCACCAAGCCCAAGAUGCCUAGCCGGUUUGAGAGAACGAUCGGCCACACUGGGACUGAGACACGGCCCAGACGCUUACGAGCGGCAGCAGUGGGGAAUAUUGGACAAUGGGCGAAAGCCUGAUCCAGUGAUAUCGCUUUGGGGAUGACGGCGACAUACGUUGUAAACCCAAUGAAGUACGUUUAGAUUAUGACCGUACGUAUUUUAGAAG
rnacentral:rRNA from 1 species